rnacentral:rRNA from 1 species
CUUACCUCUACCAUACUCGAGUCUAGCAGUUUCCAUUGCUGAUUUGAAGUUGAGCCUCAAGAUUUAACAAUAGACUUACUAAACCACCUACAGACGCUUUACGCCCAGACAACCAGGAGGUUAGCUUAGAAGCAGCUACCCUUUAAAGAAAGCGUAAUAGUUCACUGGUCAAGCGGGCCUGCACCGAAAAUAUAACGGGGCUUAAGCCAUGCGCCGAAGCUGCGGAUCGUCCUUCGGGACGAUGGUAGGGGAGCGUUCCCCGUGCGGAGAAGCUGUGGUGUGAACCAUGGUGGAGCGCGGGGAAGUGAGGAUGUUGGCAUGAGUAACGAAAAUGCGGGCGAGAAACCCGCACGCCGAAAGUCCAAGGGUUCCUGGGCCAGGUUAAUCCGCCCAGGGUUAGUCGGCACCUAAGGCGAGGCCGAAAGGCGUAGUCGAAGGAAAACCGGUUCAUAUUCCGGUACUUGCGGUGACGCGUGAUGGAGGGACGCAGGAGGAUAGGUCGGCCGGGUGAUGGAUGUCCCGGUUUAAGGCGGUAGCCGGAAGCUCUAGGCAAAUCCGGAGCUUCAACGGCGAGAGCUGAUGACGAGAGGCUUUGCCUCACAAAGCGAUUGAUUCCACACUGCCAAGAAAAGCUUCUAAGCAUAGUCACGGCAAACCGUACCCCAAACCGACACAGGUGGACAGGUAGAGAAUACCAAGGCGCUUGAGAGAAACCAUGUUAAGGAACUCUGCAAAUUAACUCCGUACCUUUGGAAGAAGGAGUGCCCACAAAGUGAAGGGGCUUGCCCCCGGAGCUUAGCUGGGUCGCAGUGACCAGGCCUGGCCGACUGUUUAGCAAAAACAUAGCACUCUGCAAACUCGCAAGAGGAAGUAUAGGGUGUGACGCCUGCCCGGUGCCGGAAGGUUAACAGGAGAGGUCAGCUUACGCGAAGCCUCGAAUCGAAGCCCCGGUAAACGGCGGCCGUAACNAUAACGGUCCUAAGGUAGCGAAAUUCCUUGUCGGGUAAGUUCCGACCUGCACGAAUGGCGUAACGAUCCGGGCGCUGUCUCAACGUGGUUCUCAGUGAAAUUGAAAUAGCGGUGAAGAUACCGUUAACCCGCAGCAAGACGGAAAGACCCCGUGAACCUUUACUGCAGCUUGGCAGUGGAUUCGGGAAGAGCUUGUGUAGGAUAGGUGGGAGGCUUAGAAGUCGGUGCGCCAGCGCCGGUGGAGCCGUCCUUGAAAUACCACCCUGGUUUUUUCGGAAUUCUAACCUCGUCCCGUGAUCCGGGACAGGGACCCUGCCUGGUGGGCGGUUUGACUGGGGCGGUCGCCUCCCAAAGCGUAACGGAGGCGCGCAAUGGUUCCCUCAGAGUGAUUGGAAACCACUCGUAGAGUGCAAAGGCAUAAGGGAGCCUGACUGCGAGAGAGACAUCUCAAGCAGGGACGAAAGUCGGUCUUAGUGAUCCGGUGGUUCCUUGAGGAAGGGCCAUCGCUCAACGGAUAAAAGGUACUCCGGGGAUAACAGGCUAAUCGCGCCCAAGAGUUCACAUCGACGGCGCGGUUUGGCACCUCGAUGUCGGCUCAUCGCAUCCUGGGGCUGAAGCAGGUCCCAAGGGUAUGGCUGUUCGCCAUUUAAAGCGGUACGCGAGCUGGGUUCAGAACGUCGUGAGACAGUUCGGUCCCUAUCUGCUGUGGGCGCAGGAGAUCUGAAGGAAUCUGCUCUUAGUACGAGAGGACCGGAGUGGACGAACCUCUGGUGAUCCGGUUGUUCCGCCAGGAGCACCGCCGGGUAGCUAUGUUCGGCAGGGAUAACCGCUGAAAGCAUCUAAGCGGGAAGCCCCUCCUGAGAGCGAUCUCCCGGACUUAAUGUCCCUGAAGGUCACAGGUAGACCACCUGUUUGAUAGGCCGGGGGUGGAAGCAUGGCAACAUGUGAAGCCGACCGGUACUAAGCGACCGUGUGGCUUGACUUG